AUGAUGUUUUCUGGAUCUGCCAUCCCCAUUAGAAGAAGGGGGGGGCGGGGGGGGGGGAGAGAAAAUAAUAAUAAAAAUACAGAUUUUACACGUAUGAAACUUCAUGAGAAAAAGGUAACAAUUUCAGAGAUUUGAACUAAAAAUGCUUACAUGUGAAAGCACAGCAUAUUUAUAGUCCACUCACAUUUCACCUUAUACUGCAUGCCCUGUCACCUGGAAUUACUUAGCAAGCCACAGUGCUUCAGACCUCUCCUGAGGGUACAUCUCUUUGUUUAGGUUUUGUCUAUAAGCUAACACAUACCUAUACUCAGACUAAGGUAGACACUACACAAAACAUACCCAGUUCUUGACAGAAACAUUCAUCUUUUAUUUUCUUUCCUCAUAAGAAAUAAUCAAAGCACUUCAUGCACUUUUUCCACUGGAAACAGUUCAAGUUACAACAACCAAGUUCCUCUCUGACCAGAACAGUGUGAUUUAAGAGCAUAAACCAUGCACACAAAUACAUAUAUAUAUAUACAUACUUACACGUCUAUGUGUGCAUGCGUUUGUGUGCAUAUGCCAUGAACACAGGGUCAGAAACCGAGCACGGAGCAUUUACUUACUAAUGCAGUCCGCUCGGACCUCUUUGGAAACCUGAAGGAGUCUCCGCUUUCCCUCCUGCCAGUCAGGCGCCGGGUUGUGCCCCUAGUCCACACAGGCCCCGAAGGAACUGCAAAGAGAGAUAAGCACAUGCCACAUCAGGCAGGUCUGUUUUGGCGGGGUCCAGCGCCGCCGCCUCUCGCUUCUUAGGGGUAUCCCUGCUUUCCGAACAGACUCUUGCAAAAGAGUCAUCUUUCCCAAGAUUUUGUUUUGUUUUGUUUUUGUUUUUCCUACCACCGAUUUUUUUUAAGCCCUCCCGAGGCUUCUGCGCCCUAAAAUUUGCUUGGGGGGCUGGCGAGGAGCAGAGAGGCAUCUCAGAGACAGCGGCGGCGGCAGCAGCAGCAGCAGAGCACCGCUCCCGGGGGACACUUUUACUUUGCCCUCAAAGUAUCUCCCAGCAAUGAGAGCGUCUGAAUCCCCCACCCCCCCUGCACUACAGCAGAAUGCUGGGGUGUUUGCUGCAAGAUUCCCAGUCCCACUGACAUCAGUAAGAUCUGGGAGCAGACGGGGUGGGGGUGGGGAUUUUUUUUCUGUUUAGAAUACAGUUUUGUGUGCGCUAUAUUUAAUUAAGAUUUUUCCAGAAAUAGGACCCCAUCGAGAUUUAAUUUACGAAGAUACCUCUAAUGCUGGUCAGUACAGUCUUUGAAGAAAAACAUUUGCAGUAUUUUGCUUCCCCACAACUGUGCAAAAAUGCUCUUCACAGACUUUAAAUCGUUUAUGAAAGACUACAAAAGAUGUAUUGCUGUUUGCUUGUUUACUUGUUUUUGUUGUCAAUAGUAGCUUUUAUUGUUUGGUGUCUUCUUGUUGGGGUUUGUUUGUUUGUUUGUUCCCCCCCCACACACACACACACACAGUUCAUCUGCAUUAAAAUACAACUUUG
rnacentral:lncRNA from 1 species